rnacentral:rRNA from 1 species
CAAGACCUUGCGCUUUUGGAGCGGCCGAUGUCUGAUUAGCUAGUUGGUGAGGUAAAGGCUUACCAAGGCUUCGAUCAGUAGCUGGUCUGAGAGGACGACCAGCCACACUGGGACUGAGACACGGCCCAGACUCCUACGGGAGGCAGCAGUGGGGAAUUUUGGACAAUGGGGGCAACCCUGAUCCAGCCAUGCCGCGUGAGUGAAGAAGGCCUUCGGGUUGUAAAGCUCUUUCAGCCGGAACGAAACGGUCACGGUUAAUAACCGUGAUCACUGACGGUACCGGAAGAAGAAGCACCGGCUAACUACGUGCCAGCAGCCGCGGUAAUACGUAGGGUGCGAGCGUUAAUCGGAAUUACUGGGCGUAAAGCGUGCGCAGGCGGUUUUGUAAGUCAGAUGUGAAAUCCCCGGGCUUAACCUGGGAACU